UACGUAGGGUGCGAGCGUUAAUCGGAAUUACUGGGCGUAAAGCGUGCGCAGGCGGUUCGCUAAGACCGAUGUGAAAUCCCCGGGCUUAACCUGGGAACUGCAUUGGUGACUGGCGGGCUAGAGUGUGGCAGAGGGGGGUGGAAUUCCGCGUGUAGCAGUGAAAUGCGUAGAGAUGUGGAGGAAUACCGAUGGCGAAGGCAGCCCCCUGGGAUAACACUGACGCUCAUGCACGAAAGCGUGGGGAGCAAACAGG
rnacentral:rRNA from 1 species